rnacentral:lncRNA from 1 species
UUGACCAAGCUCCUUACUGAGGAGAAUUAUUCAAGGUUGGGUUGAGUUCGGCCGACCCUAAAUGUAAGUAUUUUUUUAAUGCAUCUUCCUUAGUUCAGCACUUCUUUCUUUGUUGACUACUUCAUCUUUGAUGUAGCAAUGAAUCCCAAGGAUCUAGAGGCUGUUGUCAAGCUGCAAAGAAGAGAAAGGCAAGUGCAGCCCCUACUCCCAAAUUCAAUCGAGUUGAGGCUAUCCUCGCCCAACCCAUAGCUGGAGAUUCCUCGAGGCCGAGCAGUGCCCCGAGGAAGGAGUUUUUGGCACCAGCAAAGGUGAUGGCACCACUCCAAUCUAUCAUGUUGGGGGGGCAGCCCCCCUAGCCUUCUAUGUCCUCAUCGUAGCG